UAAUACAUGCAAGUCGUACGCACUGGCCCAACUGAUUGAUGGUGCUUGCACCUGAUUGACGAUGGAUCACCAGCUGAGUGGCGGACGGGUGAGUAACACGUAGGUAACCUGCCCCGGAGCGGGGGAUAACAUUUGGAAACAGAUGCUAAUACCGCAUAACAACAAAAGCCACAUGGCUUUUGUUUGAAAGAUGGCUUUGGCUAUCACUCUGGGAUGGACCUGCGGUGCAUUAGCUAGUUGGUAAGGUAACGGCUUACCAAGGCGAUGAUGCAUAGCCGAGUUGAGAGACUGAUCGGCCACAAUGGAACUGAGACACGGUCCAUACUCCUACGGGAGGCAGCAGUAGGGAAUCUUCCACAAUGGGCGCAAGCCUGAUGGAGCAACACCGCGUGAGUGAAGAAGGGUUUCGGCUCGUAAAGCUCUGUUGUUGGAGAAGAACGUGCGUGAGAGUAACUGUUCACGCAGUGACGGUAUCCAACCAGAAAGUCACGGCUAACUACUUGCCAGCAGCCGCGGUAAUAC
rnacentral:rRNA from 2 species